rnacentral:rRNA from 1 species
CUUAACUUCUAGCCCCAACCUUCAAUAUUCAAUUAGCCUUAACUCACGCCCCAAACCAAAACAUUUUAACAAUUUAGUACCAGGCGAUAAAAAAAUUUUUCCGGAGCAUUACAACUAGUACCGUAAGGGAAAGAUGAAAUAAUAAUGAAAUAGGCCUAAAGCAUAAAAAAGUAGAGUUCCCCCCUCGUACCUUUUGCAUCAUGGUUUAACUAGUCUAACUAGGCAGAAAGAUUUUUCAGUCUAACCCCCCGAAUCUGGGCGAGCUAUUUUAAGACAGCUUCACGAGCCAACCCGUCUCUGUUGCAAAAGAGUGGGAAGAUCAUAAAAUAGCGGUGAUAGACCAAACGAGCCCAGUGAUAGCUGGUUGCUUUUAAAAAGAAUUUUAGUUCCGCUCAAAGCUCUCUCUUUCCAAAGAAAUUUACUUUGAAGCAAUUCAAAUAAGGUUCAGCCUAUUUGAAAAAGGACUCAACCUCAACCACUGGGUUACCCUGUUUACAUAUGCUUAAGUA